rnacentral:rRNA from 1 species
UACGGGGGGGGCAAGCGUUGUUCGGAAUUACUGGGCGUAAAGGGCUCGUAGGCGGCCAACUAAGUCAGACGUGAAAUCCCUCGGCUUAACCGGGGAACUGCGUCUGAUACUGGUUGGCUUGAGUUUGGGAGAGGGAUGCGGAAUUCCAGGUGUAGCGGUGAAAUGCGUAGAGAUCGGGAAGAACACCAAUGGCGAAGGCAGCCUCCUGGGCCAACAUUGACGCUGAGACGCGAAAGCGUGGGGAGCAAACAGG